UGCUCCGAAAAAAAGUUGGAUUGCCAGAAACCGUCCGUUGGGACGAUCAUGCCUGGGGUUUCCGGAUCGGAGCAAAGGGCUUCGGAGCCGCAAGGGCGACAUUGAUUUGCCAAAUGGUCGAAGUUGAAGUAGCCGGGGCUGCACCCCAGGCACUGGUCCAAGCUGGGUGAUAAGUACUCGCCGAUGAGGCAGGGCCUGACGUACAC
rnacentral:lncRNA from 1 species